UUCCUUCCAAACUUCCUCUCGGUGCAAGAGAUUAAUCUCGGCUGAGAAUUAACCCACCUCCAACGCUCAAUCCGACGUAUGCGAGUAAUUCAAAACGGCUUUGAGGCGCAUAUCAGGGUCUUUCAGCGGGAAUCAAUGAAAAACGCAUCAAUGGGAAUCAAUAUCUCCCUCAUUGUCAUUUAUAGAUCAAAAAGAAAACGCAUCGAAGUAACUCAAUGUUGUUCCUUCAAAGAUGAAUCUAAAUUAUAAAACCACACACAGACUAUCUCAAUCUUAAAAUCAGGAGAGUCAGUUUUUGAAAUUGUUAGAGUUUCUUUGUAGUCCAUUAUCUGGGCUUAUGGAAGCUGCUACUAUUGCUCUUUCUAAUGGGGGAUUAAUUCUCUCAGCCACAAUGGAAGAACUGAAAGCUUUUUCUUCGUUUUUGCAGAACCAACUCCAAGGGGUCUUUGCAGUGAACAAUUCUUAUAAAUAAAUGUUUCCUUCAGAUGAACCAAGGGGUCUUUGCAGCGACUGAACAAUUCAUAUAAACAAGUGUUUCAUUCAGAUUCUUGGUGUUCCUACUAUAGUGUUAGGCUACAUAUGGGAUGUCUGCUCUCUUUGUCACACACACCAGCCUCAUUUUAAAACACCUAUCUACUUUUUCGGAUCCAACAACAACAUUUAAGGCAGCCUGAUUUUCACUGAAUUGCAGCCAGGCACGGUUCUAUCACACUAGAAGUCAUGAUGCACAACAGAAAUUAAGAAUUCUCAACUAAGAUUACAACUCAAUGACAUGUAACCCUAUAUGCAGUUAACAAUUGACCUAUGUGUACCAGUUACAGGUACAUGUUUCUUAAUGGGUGUCUAUCAUGUUACGGAAAAAAAAACAACUCAAAACACAAUAAAGAAUAUGGUAAAUCUCUUUGUCUAAUCUUGUUGUCUAUUUCAAUAGUGUCGCUGGUGAUUUUGCAGCUGCUACGUAUCUGUUGCAAUUUUUUUCUUUGCUCUCUCAGUCUCUGGCUAUCUCUCAUUUCUUUUAGGACUGACUGCUCGACAAAAUAAAAGGGUGACGCAAAAUACUUUUGUUAGUUUAUGCUUGCUAGCGAUAUUGAUCAAAUUCUGCUUACACUUUUAGAAAUUGUAUACUUUAAAAUACCCUUUUCUGCGUAAGUAUGUAGUAGUAUUUGAUUUCAUUGUAGGAUUCAAUGCUUUUGUGAAGUUAUAAAGUUAAGCUUAGAAAGAUAUAGGCAUGUUAAAACGGAUCAUCACUUGGACAUUUUGAGGUGUAUAUAUCACUGGUGAUAUAAUGGCGUGUAAAUUUGUAAUCUUAUUUUUAAAUGCAUUUAGAAUUGUUGUUAGUCGUCGUUCGUAGAGAUAGAUCCAUUUGAGAGUC